rnacentral:rRNA from 1 species
AUUGAACGCUGGCGGCAGGCUUAACACAUGCAAGUCGAACGAGUGGCGGAGUGGUGGGUAAUGCUUGGACACCUGGCUUAUGGAGGCGGCUAACUACGGGAAACUGUGGCUAAUACCGCUUACCGUAGGUUCAGCCGAAGUGGGAUUAGGUAGUUGGUGAGGUAAAGGCUCACCAAGACGACGAUCCCUAGCUGGUCUGAGAGGAUGACCAGCCACACUGGGACUGAGACACGGCCCAGACUCCUACGGGAGGCAGCAGUGGGGAAUAUUGCGCAAUGGAGGCAAGCUGACGCAGCCAUGCCGCGUGAAUGAAGAAGGCCUUCGGGUUGUAAAGUUCUUUCGGUAGCGAGGCGUUAUCUACAGAAGAAGCACCGGCUAACUCCGUGCCAGCAGCCGCGGUAAUUC